CUACGGGAGGCACCAGUGGGGAAUCUUAGACAAUGGGGGAAACCCUGAUCUAGCCAUGCCGCGUGAGCGACGACGGCCCUAGGGUUGUAAAGCUCUUUCAGCAGGGAAGAUAAUGACGGUACCUGCAGAAGAAGUCCCGGCUAACUCCGUGCCAGCAGCCGCGGUAAUACGGAGGGGACUAGCGUUGUUCGGAAUUACUGGGCGUAAAGCGCGCGUAGGCGGAUUGUUAAGUCGGGGGUGAAAUCCCGGGGCUCAACCCCGGAACUGCCCUCGAUACUGGCAGUCUUGAGUUCGAGAGAGGUGAGUGGAAUUCUGAGUGUGGAGGUGAAAUUCGUAGAUAUUCGGAGGAACACCAGUGGCGAAGGCGGCUCACUGGCUCGAUACUGACGCUGAGGUGCGAAAGCGUGGGGAGCAAACAGGAUUAGAUACCCGUGUAGUC
rnacentral:rRNA from 1 species